UUUGGCCGAAAGUAACAAGAGAGAAAAGAGAGAAACUUUCAUGAACACUUAAUCUUCAAAGCUUGAUUUCUUCUGAACUAAAACUCAAAUCAAAACUCCGAUUUCACCAAAAUGAUCCUCUCUUCUUCCUCUACAUAACCAUAUAACAUAUCAAGGCUGGAAAUAAGGUGAGAUGGCUGUCUCCCUCCCUCUUCAAUUCGGUUUUCAAGGAAAACCAUGCAAAACAUGUGUUUUCUUGAUGUUUUUCCUUAGGAAUCAUGCUUAACUUGACUUGAGGGCCAAGAAACGUGAAUUUCCAGCAAGUAUAAGGAAGAAAAAGUGCUUAAGGACCACCUGAAAGAGUAACCGGAUUUGAGGCAGCAAAUCAAGGUAAAUUCUGACUGAAAUUGAGGGAUUUGAGCAAAACUCUGAAAAAGGCUGACAAAAGGACUGCUGAUGCUGUUGGAUUCUGACCUCCCUGCACUCGAAAUAGAUUUUCUGGAGCUACAGAACUCCAAAUGGCGCGCUCUCAAUGGCAUUAGAAAGUAGACAUCCAGGGCUUUCCAGCAAUAUAUAAUAGUCCAUGCUUUAUUCGAAGAUUGACGACGUAACUUGGCGUUAAACGCCAAGUUCAUGCUGCUGUCUGGAGUUAAACGCCAGAAAAACGUCAUGAUCCGGAGUUGAACGCCCAAAACACGUUAUAACUCAAAGUUGAACGCCCAGAAAUGCCUUAGCUCGUGGAUUGAUCAAGCUCAGCCCAAGCACACACCAAGUGGGCCCCGGAAGUGAAUUUAUGCAUCAAUUACUUACUCAUGUAAACCCUAGGAGCUAGUCUAGUAUAUAUAGGACAUUUAUCUAUUGUAUUAGACAUCUUUUGACCACUUUAAUCUCUUUAUUCAUUCGGUCACUUGAUCAUGGAGAGGGCUGGCCAUUCGGCCAUGCCUGAACCUCUUUUACUUAUGUAUCUUCAACGGUGGAGUUUCUGCACACCAUAGAUUAAGGAUGUGGAGCUCUGCUGUACC